rnacentral:misc_RNA from 1 species
GAUGAAGAACGCAGCGAAAUGCGAUAAGUAAUGUGAAUUGCAGAAUUCAGUGAAUCAUCGAAUCUUUGAACGCACAUUGCGCCCCCUGGUAUUCCGGGGGGCAUGCCUGUCCGAGCGUCAUUACAACCCUCAAGCUCAGCUUGGUGUUGGGCCCCGCCGCCCCGGCGGGCCCUAAAGUCAGUGGCGGUGCCGUCCGGCUCCGAGCGUAGUAAUUCUUCUCGCUCUGGAGGUCCGGUCGUGUGCUCGCCAGCAACCCCCAAUUUUUUCAGGUUGACCUCGGAUCAGGUAGGAAUACCCGCUGAACUUAAGCAUAUCAAUAAGCGGAGGA